rnacentral:lncRNA from 1 species
AAAUUGCAGUCAAAACAGAAUUAACAGGCCACAAAUGUAGUUUAAAAAACGGAGGGUCAAACUGUAAUUCGCGAAUUACGAGGGGGCCAAAUUAGAAAUUAUUCCAUCCCCCAAAACGCAGCGCAGUGACGUGGACUGAAAUGAGACAAAAAUAAAAUGAAAAGUUAAAUUUAAGAGGAAAUAAAAUAUAUAAAAAAAAGUCAAAUUGAAAUACUAUUGCAAGGUGGAGGGACCAGGGUUGCAAAUAACCCAACUAACAAAAAAAAUGCGGAUCCCUCAUGGAGCGGGUCAGGCCGCGCGCGGGCUGCUAGACAAUGGCCAAUACGGUGUCGUUUUAAGGCCACUGAAGCAGGCCUUAAACGGCGUCGUUUUUUACACAAUAAAUAUCAACUUUAAAACCCUAAAAUCAGCAGCAGCUAUAGUUUUAAACAAAGUUAAAAAAAACCUAACAUCUUCCUCUCCAAAACACCGUUCGCACUAUUUCGCUACUCCCGGCUCCCCCAAUCUGAACUCCGAUCAUUACGAAGCGAACAGGGGUUCGAUACACAGCUUAUGAAGGUAAGACUACUCCCUGUUUCUUUUUUUUUGCUCGAAAUUCGAAAAAAAUAACUAGAAGCCAAGAAGCCAAAAACAAAAAAAUGAAAAUCUUCAGAAAAAAAGAAAAGAAAGAAACGAAUCACCUCAUUUCAAUUUUGAUUUUUUUAUUGAUUCUAUCCGUAACCCCUUACAAAUUUCGUAUUUGGCUUUAUAUAGCCCAAAAAGAAAAUACAUAAAUCCCUAUUUUCCUAUUUUUCCUUCUCUUUUUCUCUCUUGUUACAAAUUUUUAAUUCGCUGUAAACCUGUUGCUCCUUUGUUGUUUUUUGUUUUGUCCUUUUGGUUGCUUGCUGUUUGCUGCAGGUACGGCCUGGAGGAGCGUGGCGUGGAGGCGCACAUGUUGCGAGGAGAGCCAAAAAGGCGCUGGAACGGCGGCUGAGAUAUUCUGAAAA